ensembl:snoRNA
GUGCCCUGUGAUUACGAAAAGACGCGUUAUUACGAGGACUAAUGCUGGCGGCUCAUCUGCCCCCAUCCCUCCUACUUUCUACCCCACUCCUUCUACUACUUCACCCCUUCUACUCCCCCUGCCCCUUUUCUGAGCAACCAGCGUCCUGUGAGCACGAUUAUGAGAUCUGAGGGCCG